rnacentral:rRNA from 1 species
AUUGAACGCUGGCGGCAUGCUUUACACAUGCAAGUCGAACGGCAGCGCGGGGCAACCUGGCGGCGAGUGGCGAACGGGUGAGUAAUACAUCGGAACGUACCCAGAAGUGGGGGAUAACGUAGCGAAAGUUACGCUAAUACCGCAUACGUUCUACGGAAGAAAGCGGGGGAUCUUCGGACCUCGUGCUUUUGGAGCGGCCGAUGUCUGAUUAGCUAGUUGGUGAGGUAAAGGCUCACCAAGGCGACGAUCAGUAGCUGGUCUGAGAGGACGACCAGCCACACUGGGACUGAGACACGGCCCAGACUCCUACGGGAGGCAGCAGUGGGGAAUUUUGGACAAUGGGCGCAAGCCUGAUCCAGCAAUGCCGCGUGAGUGAAGAAGGCCUUCGGGUUGUAAAGCUCUUUUGUCAGGGAAGAAACGGCUGGGGCUAAUAUCCCCGGCUAAUGACGGUACCUGAAGAAUAAGCACCGGCUAACUAUGUGCCAGCCGCCGCGGUAAGAC